rnacentral:rRNA from 1 species
GACGAACGCUGGCGGCGUGCCUAAUACAUGCAAGUAGAACGCUGAAGGAGGAGCUUGCUCUUCUGGAUGAGUUGCGAACGGGUGAGUAACGCGUAGGUAACCUGCCUGGUAGCGGGGGAUAACUAUUGGAGACGAUAGCUAAUACCGCAUAAGAGUAGAUGUUGCAUGACAUUUGCUUAAAAGGUGCAAUUGCAUCACUACCAGAUGGACCUGCGUUGUAUUAGCUAGUUGGUGGGGUAACGGCUCACCAAGGCGACGAUACAUAGCCGACCUGAGAGGGUGAUCGGCCACACUGGGACUGAGACACGGCCCAGACUCCUACGGGAGGCAGCAGUAGGGAAUCUUCGGCAAUGGACGGAAGUCUGACCGAGCAACGCCGCGUGAGUGAAGAAGGUUUUCGGAUCGUAAAGCUCCGUUGUAAGAGAAGAACGAGUGUGAGAGUGGAAAGUUCACACUGUGACGGUAUCUUACCAGAAAGGGACGGCUAACUACGUGCCAGCAGCCGCGGUAAUACGUAGGUCCCGAGCGUUGUCCGGAUUUAUUGGGCGUAAAGCGAGCGCAGGCGGUUAGAUAAGUCUGAAGUUAAAGGCUGUGGCUUAACCAUAGUACGCUUUGGAAACUGUUUAACUUGAGUGCAAGAGGGGAGAGUGGAAUUCCAUGUGUAGCGGUGAAAUGCGUAGAUAUAUGGAGGAACACCGGUGGCGAAAGCGGCUCUCUGGCUUGUAACUGACGCUGAGGCUCGAAAGCGUGGGGAGCAAACAGG